rnacentral:rRNA from 1 species
UGCCCUAGUAACGGCGAGUGAAGCGGCAACAGCUCAAAUUUGAAAGCUGGCUUAGGCCCGCAUUGUAAUUUGCAGAGGAUGCUUCUGGCGAGGUGCCUUCCGAGUUCCCUGGAACGGGACGCCAUAGAGGGUGAGAGCCCCGUAUGGAUGGACACCAGACCUGUGUGAAGCUCCUUCAACGAGUCGAGUAGUUUGGGAAUGCUGCUCUAAAUGGGAGGUAAAUCUCUUCUAAAGCUAAAUACCGGCCAGAGACCGAUAGCGCACAAGUAGAGUGAUCGAAAGAUGAAAAGCACCUUGAAAAGGGGGUUAAACAGUACGUGAAAUUGUUGAAAGGGAAGCGCUUGUGACCAGACUUGCGCCGGGCAGCUCAUCAGGGGUUCUCCCCUGUGCACUCUGCCCGGCUCAGGCCAGCAUCGGUUCUCGUGGGAGGAUAAGAACGGUAGGAACGUGGCCCCCCUCCGGGGGGGUGUUAUAGCCUGCCGUACGAUACUCCCGUGGGGACCGAGGUUCGCGCUCCGCAAGGAUGCUGGCGUAAUGGUCAUCAGCGACCCGUCUUGAAACACGGACCAAGGAGUCGUCCAUUAGAGCGAGCGUUUGGGUGUAAAACCCGCACGCGUAAUGAAAGUGAACGCAGGUGAGAGCUUCGGCGCAUCAUCGACCGAUCCUGAUGUCUUCGGAUGGAUUUGAGUAAGAGUUUUAACGGACGGACCCGAAAGACAGUGAACUAUGCUUGUAUAGGGUGAAGCCAGAGGAAACUCUGGUGGAGGCUCGCAGCGGUUCUGACGUGCAAAUCGAUCGUCAAAUAUGAGCA